rnacentral:rRNA from 1 species
CCUACGGGUGGCUGCAGUGGGGAAUAUUGCACAAUGGGGGAAACCCUGAUGCAGCGACGCCGCGUGAGCGAAGAAGUAUUUCGGUAUGUAAAGCUCUAUCAGCAGGGAAGAAAAUGACGGUACCUGAGUAAGAAGCCCCGGCUAACUACGUGCCAGCAGCCGCGGUAAUACGUAUGGAGCAAGCGUUAUCCGGAUUUACUGGGUGUAAAGGGAGCGUAGGCGGCAUGCCAAGACUGAUGUGAAAGGCCGGGGCUCAACCCCGGGGCUGCAUUGGAAACUGGCGGGCUAGAGUGCAGGAGAGGCAAGCGGAAUUCCUAGUGUAGCGGUGAAAUGCGUAGAUAUUAGGAGGAACACCAGUGGCGAAGGCGGCUUGCUGGACUGUAAAUGACGCUGAGGCUCGAAAGCGUGGGGAGCAAACAGGAUUAGAUACCCCAGUAGUC